rnacentral:rRNA from 1 species
ACUCCUACGGGAGGCAGCAGUGGGAAUAUUGGACAAUGGGGGAACCCUGAUCCAGCCAUGCCGCGUGUGUGAAGAAGGCCUUAUGGUUGUAAAGCACUUUAAGCGAGGAGGAGGCUACUAGUAUUAAUACUACUGGAUAGUGGACGUUACUCGCAGAAUAAGCACCGGCUAACUCUGUGCCAGCAGCCGCGGUAAUACAGAGGGUGCGAGCGUUAAUCGGAUUUACUGGGCGUAAAGCGUGCGUAGGCGGCCAUUUAAGUCAAAUGUGAAAUCCCCGAGCUUAACUUGGGAAUUGCAUUCGAUACUGGAUGGCUAGAGUAUGGGAGAGGAUGGUAGAAUUCCAGGUGUAGCGGUGAAAUGCGUAGAGAUCUGGAGGAAUACCGAUGGCGAAGGCAGCCAUCUGGCCUAAUACUGACGCUGAGGUACGAAAGCAUGGGAGCAAACAGGAUUAGAUACCCUGGUAGGCU